GGGACUAGUGCGGAGCAAGCCAACCACGGAGUGGGGUUAGGGGAGCCAGCGCCCUGAGCGAAAGAAUCAAAGCAAGGAGAUGCCUUGUGCAUAUUGAGCCAUUAAAGUGCUUUUUGGAGCUUGCCCUUUGAGCCAGAAUCUUGGAUCGCCAUGUCCCGUCUUGCCUUUUAUGUCUACGUCUUCCUCUGUCACCCUACAAGUGGACGCCAUAUCCUGUACCUUAUCUGUGUCUCUCACUCAGCCCAAGAAGAAAGAGUCCUGUAUAUACGUAGAAAUGUGAGGAAGACGGGCUUCCUUCCACUUUUAACCACUGCCUCCUUGAGAUGCUCAAAGGACACUGGGCCUGGUUCAGUCACUGGAAGCAUCCUAACUGUGACAGCUCAGAGCCAACAACACCUUUGCCAGGCAGCUGCCUCCAGCACAAGAAACCGUGGAGAAAACUGAAGAUGGAUUGGCUCUGCUCCAUCCUUCUCAUCAGGCAGCUUCUCCUCUGAAUUUGCUGGGUACUCAGCAUCUUUACACUGCCCUCUGACCAUAAAGAAGAAGCGGGAGUGGGAGGAAACUCCACAGAGUCCCAGCCACCUCCCCAGACACUUUACACUGCCGACCACUUGGUUGUUGCAGUAGGAAUAGUUUUCAUUUGCCCUUCUCAGACAGGGAGGCCGAAAUUCAAAGUUUAGUUAUUUGCUGUUCGACAUCUUACAGAAUGGAACAGUGGUUGGCAGAGACGGAAAGGGGUGUUGGGAGGACAGGAAGGAAUUAAAUGGGGCUGAAAAGCACAGAGGAGCUUGUGCCGCAUGUUCUGUAUCGCAGUUAAUGGAUUAUAACGGCCUGUGAUACGUUUUCAAGUGAUUAAAAGUGAGCUGUAGACAUGGCUCAGUCGGCAAGGGUGCUUGCACCAA